ACAAACUUGGUCAUUUAGAGGAAGUAAAAGUCGUAACAAGGUUUCCGUAGGUAAGUGAAAACUUUCGGUCCCGCACCCUUUUUCGUGCCAGAAUGACUUGCUAACUUAUUUAGGUGAACCUGCGGAAGGAUCAUUACCGAGAGCGCCCCCCGUAAAAACGGGGGCACCUCCCGUCCUUUGCUGGCCCCCCUCUAAAAUGGGGGGCUUUUCAGACUCUGCUUCGGCGGGGUGACCCGCCGGAACACCCACAAGAAAAUUCGUUGAACCGUUCCGUCCGAGUGCUUUUGAAAAUGAAGCGAAAAACUUUCAACAACGGAUCUCUUGGUUCUGGCAUCGAUGAAGAACGCAGC
rnacentral:misc_RNA from 1 species